AGCGUAGAUGGAUGUUUAAGUCAGUUGUGAAAGUUUGCGGCUCAACCGUAAAAUUGCAGUUGAUACUGGAUAUCUUGAGUGCAGUUGAGGCGGGCGGAAUUCGUGGUGUAGCGGUGAAAUGCUUAGAUAUCACGAAGAACUCCGAUUGCGAAGGCAGCCUGCUAAGCUGCAACUGACAUUGAGGCUCGAAAGUGUGGGUAUCAAACA
rnacentral:rRNA from 1 species